UACGUAGGGCGCAAGCGUUAUCCGGAAUUAUUGGGCGUAAAGAGCUCGUAGGCGGUUUGUUGCGUCGGCUGUGAAAUCCCGAGGCUCAACCUCGGGUCUGCAGUCGAUACGAGCAAACUAGAGUGUUGCAGGGGAGACUGGAAUUCCUGGUGUAGCGGUGAAAUGCGCAGAUAUCAGGAGGAACACCGGUGGCGAAGGCGGGUCUCUGGGCAACAACUGACGCUGAGGAGCGAAAGCGUGGGGGAGCGAACAGG
rnacentral:rRNA from 1 species